UGAGGAAUAUUGGUCAAUGGGCGCGAGCCUGAACCAGCCAAGUCGCGUGAGGGAAGACGGUCCUAUGGAUUGUAAACCUCUUUUGUCGGGGAGCAAGAAAGGGUAUGCAUACCCCUACUGAGAGUACCCGAAGAAAAAGCAUCGGCUAACUCCGUGCCAGCAGUCGCGGUAAUCGCUCUGU
rnacentral:rRNA from 1 species